GACAGAGGGUGCAAACGUUGCUCGGAAUCACUGGGCGUAAAGGGCGUGUAGGCGGGAAUGUAAGUCGGGCGUGAAAUCCCUAGGCUCAACCUAGGAACUGCACUCGAAACUGCGUUUCUUGAGUAUCGGAGAGGAAAGCGGAAUACCUGGUGUAGAGGUGAAAUGCGCAGAUAUCAGGAGGAACACCGAUGGCGAAGGCAGGUCUCUGGGCCACUACUGACGCUGAGAAGCGAAAGCAUGGGGAGCGAACAGG
rnacentral:rRNA from 1 species